AGAAAACGGUGGGAAAAUGCAGAAAAGCCAGUUUUAUAAAUAAGUAUACAUCUUUGUAUUAACGAUAUUCCUUGAUAAUAUGAAAGCCUUUGUUCAGCGAAAACGAACCUCAAAUUAUAAUUUUUUGUGUCUUUUUUUCUAUAUUAACACUUCUCCGCUGCCAAACGGAAGGUUAAAUGAUUUUUCCGUUUAAGGAUUUUGCAUAAAAUAUUUUUAAUUUGUAAUUUUCCUCUAGGGUUAGCUUGUUUAAACAACGCUGAGAAAAAUAAAGGAAAGUAAAGGAGGAUUUAUUGAUUGUUCCAAUAAGUUGUUCUAUUGUUGUGGUUUGUGGAUUAAUAGUUUUUCCCUUCCUUUAUUCAUGAAAAUGAUAAAGUUAAUUGAUUUUUAUAUUUAUUAUUGUUAUUGCACAACAUGUGGGUUAUUAUGUGUAUUUUUUCUGUUUCUUUUUGUAAAAUCAUCCAAUCCUACUGAUGGAUUGUGCCUGAUGAAAUAAUUUGUUUGUGUCAUCUAACCAAAUUAUGGAGUACAUAGUUUAACCAUGUUUGUUAAUGCAAUAACGCUUCUUGAUAUUGCUCUG
rnacentral:misc_RNA from 1 species